rnacentral:rRNA from 1 species
UCAGCAGGCAUCUAACGAGAACGAAAUGGUGUAAACGGGAGAAGGAUGGGGAUGCGUCUGAUUAGCUUGUUGCGGGGUAACGGCCCACCAAGGCGACGAUCAGUAGGGGUUCUGAGAGGAAGGUCCCCCACAUUGGAACUGAGACACGGUCCAAACUCCUACGGGAGGCAGCAGUGAGGAAUAUUGGUCAAUGGACGAGAGUCUGAACCAGCCAAGUAGCGUGCAGGACGACGGCCCUAUGGGUUGUAAACUGCUUUUAUAGGGGGAUAGAGUGUGCCACGUGUGGCAUAUUGCAGGUACCCUAUGAAUAAGGACCGGCUAAUUCCGUG